GGACAGGACCACUCCUGUCGCUGUGCACGUGGCCACACCUUCGCCAGCGAGAAACUCUGAGCAAAAUAAAAUUUCCUCUUCUGUCCUGCGAUGACAAGAAUAACGAAUGUCAAUCCCAACUGUCUGCUGUUGCCUGAGUUGGCAGCUGAUGUGCUGGCUAACAGUUUUAAUUCGUUCAGAAGAGUGAUUGUCUUAGAGCUGUUCAAACCUGUGGCUCCGCAGCUGUAAUCAAAACCAGCGGGGGAGGCCCUGACUUAUAUCCCUGGCAGAGAACUCCUGGAAUGCAUAAUGCAUACGGAAGAGAUGCUCUCCAUGAAGAUAACCAUUUCUGUUGCCAGUUGGACAAGGAGCAGAACUAAGAAGCAGAGAGGAGACAUGACUUGCUUGUGUCCACACACUCUGACAGAAAGUGACCCAAGGGAUAUAAAAGUCCAAUCCGUCCAAUUCCAAAGUACACACGUUUGAAGUUGAACAUAGUCACAGAAGUAGCUGAAAUGGAAAAAACAGACAAUUUGAUGGCAUGGAGGGACCGGAUCUCGCACACUCUCCCGGCAGGAGUGUAAAUCAAUACAACUACUCUGGAAAACCACUAAACGAUCUUGACUUAAGCUGAGCAUCUUCACACCUCCACAGUCCUAUCACCUCACUUUUAGGAAUACAAAUGUAAAAUGUG